GAUGAACGCUAGCUACAGGCUUAACACAUGCAAGUCGAGGGGUAACGAGAGGAAAGCUUGCUUUCCUUGUCGACGACCGGCGCACGGGUGAGUAACGCGUAUCCAACCUGCCCCCAACUAGGGAAUAACCUUGCGAAAGUAAGACUAAUACCCUAUAAUUUCCUCAGAUGUCAUCUGACGAGGAAUAAAGAUUUAUCGGUUGUGGAUGGGGAUGCGUCGGAUUAGCUUGUUGGCGGGGUAACGGCCCACCAAGGCAACGAUCAGUAGGGGUUCUGGGAGGAAGGGCCCCCACAUUGGAACGGAAACACGGUCCAAACUACUACGGGAGGGAGCAGUGAGGAAUAUUGGUCAAUGGGCGGAAGCCUGAACCAGCCAAGUAGCGUGCAGGAUGGCGGCCCUAUGGGUUGUAAACUGCUUUUAUACAGGAAUAAAGUUAGCCACGUGUGGUUAUUUGUAGGUACUGUAUGAAUAAGGACCGGCUAAUUCCGUGCCAGCCGCCGCAGUAA
rnacentral:rRNA from 1 species